UACGGAGGGAGCUAGCGUUGUUCGGAAUUACUGGGCGUAAAGCGCACGUAGGCGGAUCGUUAAGUCAGGGGUGAAAUCCUGGAGCUCAACUCCAGAACUGCCUUUGAUACUGGCGAUCUUGAGUCCGGAAGAGGUGAGUGGAACUCCUAGUGUAGAGGUGGAAUUCGUAGAUAUUAGGAAGAACACCAGUGGCGAAGGCGGCUCACUGGUCCGGUACUGACGCUGAGGUGCGAAAGCGUGGGGAGCAAACAGG
rnacentral:rRNA from 1 species